UAGGGAAUCUUCGGCAAUGGGGGGAACCCUGACCGAGCAACGCCGCGUGAGUGAAGAAGGUUUUCGGAUCGUAAAGCUCUGUUGUUAAGGAAGAACGAGUGUGAGAAUGGAAAGUUCAUGCUGUGACGGUAUUUAACCAGAAAGGGACGGCUAACUACGUGCCAGCAGCCGCGGUAAUACGUAGGUCCCGAGCGUUGUCCGGAUUUAUUGGGCGUAAAGCGAGCGCAGGCGGUUAGAAAAGUCUGAAGUGAAAGGCAGUGGCUCAACCAUUGUAGGCUUUGGAAACUGUUUAACUUGAGUGCAGAAGGGGAGAGUGGAAUUCCAUGUGUAGCGGUGAAAUGCGUAGAUAUAUGGAGGAACACCGGUGGCGAAAGCGGCUCUCUGGUCUGUAACUGACGCUGAGGCUCGAAAGCGUGGGGAGCGAACAGG
rnacentral:rRNA from 1 species